rnacentral:rRNA from 1 species
GGCGAACGCUGGCGGCGUGCUUAACACAUGCAAGUCGAACGCUGAAGCUUGGUGCUUGCACUGGGUGGAUGAGUGGCGAACGGGUGAGUAAUACGUGAGUAACCUGCCCUUGACUCUGGGAUAAGCCUGGGAAACUGGGUCUAAUACUGGAUACGACAUGUCACCGCAUGGUGGUGUGCGGAAAGGGUUUUACUGGUUUUGGAUGGGCUCACGGCCUAUCAGCUUGUUGGUGGGGUAAUGGCUCACCAAGGCGACGACGGGUAGCCGGCCUGAGAGGGUGACCGGCCACACUGGGACUGAGACACGGCCCAGACUCCUACGGGAGGCAGCAGUGGGGAAUAUUGCACAAUGGGCGGAAGCCUGAUGCAGCGACGCCGCGUGAGGGAUGACGGCCUUCGGGUUGUAAACCUCUUUCAGCACGGAAGAAGCGAAAGUGACGGUACGUGCAGAAGAAGCGCCGGCUAACUACGUG